ensembl:lncRNA
UAAUUCUAGAAGGUGGACUUUUUACAGACUGUCACCUCCUACUGCUUUGGCAACAUGAAUAAAUGAGGACCAAGAGACAAGAUUCUCUUCUUUGAGCUCCCUGAAAAUAUGACCUCUAGUAAUUUUACUGAUGUACUGCCCAUUCCCUCAGGCAGCGAACUUGACUGGUUAAAUGCAUUGUGUGUGAUGAUCCCUGUGCUCCUGGUGUGCGUUAACUUCAAAAUAAUUAGAAGUUGCUUUAUUUAUCUGUACCAAUCCAUAUUACUACAGCACAUCUAUAGUAAUUCACACUUUGUCAGAAAUCUGUUCUCAACUUCUUUAACUUUGUCCCAGUGCAAUAGGCCAUAAAAACCUUUUUCUCCUUGCCUUGGGACUCUUUAAAUAAAAACAAACACAUACAGAAUGUUAUCUGCAAUCCAGUAAACCCAGCCAGGUUGAUUUAACUUGAUGAUGUCCCACCCAUGUUUUUGAGGGGUCAUGCCAGUUCAGAAACACCUUUGUCAAAUCCUUUCUAUGGCAGCAUAUAAUAACUUACAGUAGUGAAUGAAUCACGUGCUUGGGGAAACAUAAAGCUUCAGUGCAUAUGAGAUCCCAAGGAAAGACUACAACAGGUGAUUUGAGCACUAACAAAGCUGAAUUAACUGACCUGUUACCAUCAGAUAUUACUGGAUAUCUGAAAAGGUAAAAAUGUUCAGUUCUUCUAACUACAUCGUACAGAUACAGUCAAAACUGAUUAUUUUUCUGACCAAAGAUAAGCCACUUGCACAUCUCCUUCAAUGUUUUUUUUUUUUUUUCCACAACAUGUAUCUGAAGUAUCUCAGGUUAGUUCUACAUGAUGCAGGAAAAUAUCACAGUAUACCUGAUGCUGCUGCGUAGUGACAGCUGGUUGAUAAGUAUGUGAUUAUUAAGUUAUUUUUUAUGAAGUUCACUGUUUAACAACUGAUCAGCCAUAACGUAUUUAUUAUGGCAUGUAAGUCUAUAAAGUAUCAAUAAUGUAGAGUGAUUUAUUAUAGAGUAAUACUGAAGCAGCCUGUGGUAGUGUAGGUAGUGCCUCUGAAGCACAUGGUUUAUCAUGUCCUUACAACAACCUCACCCCUGCUCAUAUUUUCAAAAGAAGGAUGAAGUAUUAUAAUAGUUUAUUGUUUCAUUUUAUUUAAAAAUAGGACUUCUGCUUUCCCAAGGCUGUCAGGUGUAACUUAUUUCUCAAGGCAACGACAGUUACUGUUUGCAGCUGAUACCCAGUCACUCCAUUAGACAGCAAAAGCCCUGCAGCAAGCGUUCUGUUUUGUGGUAAGCUCAUGAUACAGUCACAGUAAGGAGAUACCUCAGGGGUGCUUUGAAGACGUUGCAGGUGCGAUUCUUCGCUAAACAACAGAUACAGCGUGGCAAGUGUUGAUAGAUAUUAACAUCAGUGCAGGUGUAGAACUUACACCAUAUGCAGAACCAGCACUUUCUUGCAGUCCCUGGGCUGAUGGGGAAACCCCUCUGUCUCAAAGCAAGCCACAUUAUCCCUAGCUUGCUCUUACAGAUUUCCGUAACCACCAGGAAUGCUGGAUGCCAGGGAGGAUGCAGAACCCAAGGAAAUCAAAAGGAGCCAUGAGUGUACUCUACAGGGCAAUGGCAGUAUUUGCCAGCUAUGGCUGCAAUACGUAUACACGGAAAGGAGAAAGUACAUGAAGUUCUACUUAAGGUUUUCCUAUGAGCUUCUACGGUUUUCUCUGGGAGCAUCACGAAGAGUUAGGCAACUCCAGAUUGAAAGACCCUGGCCUCAAGGGCUGAAGAAUAGAGCUACAUUGUAACAUCCUGAUACUUGCUGACAAUUUUCUCCCUUAAUAAAACGUUGCCGCUGUCCUCUCCAUUUAUAGCAUCAAAGAGAACCCUUCUAACCUCCUAAAUCCUGUUUUAGUGUCGUAGGCUACAGAUUAUUAGCCAAAGCACAACUGCAUUUGAUGUAGUUAUAUCAGGAAGAAACAUAAGUAACAUUUAUAAUGCAGAAAUACUUAAAAAAAUUUAUUAAAAUUUAUUAAAAUAUGUUUAAAAUUAAAAUUUAAAGCAUUUAAACUUCUGUGUGAGCUCCGAGGCAGCUCUGUCUUUGUGUAUUACUGAAUACGAAAUGCUGAGAGGAAUUGAUGUGGCGGUCUCCUUUUUCUCUAGUUACCCUCCUGCAGCACAGCGCAGCCCGCUGCCCCUACAGGACAGCCUGCUUCAUGACGUUGUCCCUCAAGAUCUCAUUCCACUGUUAAUUUUUUUGUUGUUGUUGUUAGAAUAAAACACCUUGAAGUCCUGCUCUGACUUACUGCCUUCCUGACUUUGCCCUGCAACUCCGAGUAACACCCUGCGUGUGUACUUCACGUCAAAGUAAACUCGAGUUAAAAACACGCUAUUUGCGAAGUCAUUUAAGGACGGAUGAGAUCGGUGUUGCCCUCGCACUACUUACUGCAAUGUUUCUGACUGCAAAUUGCCCCAGAG